UGGAGAAUGGCUGGGCAUGCACCAACGAAACAGGGCAGGGAGGACGCCGUGCCUGUUGUCCUGGGCAGGCAGGCACAGCCCUGAGGGUGAGCAAGGUCUGGCCUCCUCACUCAAAGCCAAGGGAUCAAUGCAGAAGUCCUCCACAGCAGACCUGUGUAUUUUGUGCGGCUGCCAGUCCUGGAGCAAUGUGGAUCAUCUCAUCCUAGAGGUGGCUGCUACCCAGUCACAUGAGGUCCCACGGUGCUGCAGAUGGGCAGUGAAGCCCAGGGUGAAGAAGGACCAACAGGUGCUGCAAGGUCCAUGUGUGGUGACUUGUCUUCUACUUGAUGUCUUACUCCCCCCUUUCUUUCCCACCCCUCUUUUCUGG